CCUACGGGGUGCAGCAGUAGGGAAUAUUGCUCAAUGGGGGAAACCCUGAUGCAGCAACGCCGCGUGGGGGAUGAAGGUUUUAGGAUUGUUAACUCCUUUUGUUAGAGAAGAUUAUGACGGUAUCUAACGAAUAAGCACCGGCGAACUCCGUGCCAGCAGCCGCGGUAAUACGGAAGGUGCAAGCGUUACUCGGAAUCACUGGGCGUAAAGAGUGCGUAGGCGGGGGAAUAAGUCAGAUGUGAAAUCCUGUAGCUUAAGUACAGAACUGCAUUUGAGACUGUUACUCUGGAGUGUGGGAGAGGUAGGUGGAAUUCUUGGUGUAGGGGUAAAAUCCGUAGAGAUCAAGAGGAAUACUCAUGGCGAAGGCGAGCUGCUGGAACAUUACUGACGCUGAUGCACGAAAGCGUGGGGAGCAAACAGGAUUAGAUACCCUUGUAGUC
rnacentral:rRNA from 1 species